rnacentral:rRNA from 1 species
AGAGUUUGAUCCUGGCUCAGAACGAACGCUGGCGGCGCGCCUAACACAUGCAAGUCGAACGAGAGGCUCUUCGGAGUAGUAAAGUGGCGUACGGGUGAGUAAUACAUGGGUAAUCUGCCUUUGAGUGGGGGAUAACCAGCCGAAAGACUGGCUAAUACCCCAUACGCUUCCGGUCCCUCGGGUAAGGAAGGAAAGCUGCAUCGUGGAUGUGGCACUCGAAGAUGGGCUCAUGGCCUAUCAGCUUGUUGGUGGGGUAAAGGCCUACCAAGGCAACGACGGGUAGCUGGUCUGAGAGGACGAUCAGCCACACUGGCACUGAGAUACGGGCCAGACUCCUACGGGAGGCAGCAGUGAGGAAUAUUGCGCAAUGGGCGAAAGCCUGACGCAGCGACGCCGCGUGGGGGAAGAAGGUUUUCGGAUUGUAAACCCCUUUUAGGAGGAAAGAUGGGGUGGUUCGCCACCCGGACGGUACCUCCAGAAAAAGCCACGGCUAACUUCGUGCCAGCAGCCGCGGUAAUACGAAGGUGGCGAGCGUUGUUCGGAUUUACUGGGCGUAAAGAGCACGUAGGCGGUUUAGUAAGCCCCUUGGGAAAGCUACGGGCUUAACCCGUAAAGGUCGAGGGGGACUGCUAUGCUAGAGGGCGGGAGAGGAGCGCGGAAUUUCCGGUGUAGCGGUGAAAUGCGUAGAUAUCGGGAAGAAGGCCGGUGGCGAAGGCGGCGCUCUGGAACGUCACUGACGCUGAGGUGCGAGAGCGUGGGGAGCAAACAGGAUUAGAUACCCUGGUAGUCCACGCCGUAAACGAUGGGUACUAAGUGUCGGCAGGUUACUGUCGGUGCCGCAGUUAACGCAGUAAGUACCCCGCCUGGGGAGUACGGCCGCAAGGUUGAAACUCAAAGGAAUUGACGGGGGCCCGCACAAGCGGUGGAGCAUGUGGUUUAAUUCGACGCAACGCGAAGAACCUUACCCAGGUUGGACAUGCUCGUGGAAAAGCUUGAAAGAGUAAAGACCCCUUCGGGGGGGCGAGCUCAGGUGCUGCAUGGCUGUCGUCAGCUCGUG